CUUUCACGUCACUGAUGGUCUGCUGCAAGGUACUGUAAUUGGAGCUGGAAAUGAAAAGAAGAAAUGAAUGACUCCCAUAGCUGCAAGCAUGCUCACAGGCAGCCUCGGCCUGAGACAGCUUGGCCUCCAAGGUCUAGAUGGAAGGAAACGAGUCCAUCAACGAACUUCAGAAGCAACAGUUUCAACACCAAACUUCAUUGGUAUACUGUACAGUAGAAGACCUUGAAUAGGUGUCAAAGCCAUCACUUUCGGGGCAAAUUGUCAAUUUCCAGCUCUAAUCUGUGGAUGACAAAGCUUCAUUAAAAGGGCCCUACA